AGGAUACCGCCCCGCAGGCAGAUUCCCCCAGUGUCCAACCAGAAGAAAUCAGAGCUUGGUGUCAGCCUCCAUCACUGCCACCUCUCAGGGCUUUUGGGUCACAUUUUGUUUUGCCUGAAAUGUGAUUUCUUAGUCUCUGGGUGAUCUGC
rnacentral:lncRNA from 1 species